UACGGGGGGGGUAAGCGUUGUUCGGAAUUACUGGGCGUAAAGGGCUCGUAGGCGGCCAACUAAGUCAGACGUGAAAUCCCUCAGCUUAACUGGGGAACUGCGUCUGAUACUGGAUGGCUUGGAUUCGGGAGAGGAAUGCGGAAUUCCAGGUGUAGCGGUGAAAUGCGUAGAUAUCAGGAGGAACACCGGUGGCGAAGGCGGUUCUCUGGGCAUUACCUGACGCUGAGGAGCGAAAGUGUGGGGAGCGAACAGG
rnacentral:rRNA from 1 species